ACGCCGUAAACGAUGGGUGCUAGGUGUGGGAGGUAUCGACCCCUUCCGUGCCGGAGCUAACGCACUAAGCACCCCGCCUGGGAAGUACGGCCGCAAGGCUGAAACUCAAAGGAAUUGACGGGGGGCCCCGCACAAGCGGUGGAGCAUGUGGUUUAAUUCGAAGCAACGCGAAGAACCUUACCUGGGCUUGACAUCACCGCGAACCUGGCCGAAAGGCUGGGGUGCCCUUCGGGGAGCGCGGUGACAGGUGCUGCAUGGUUGUCGUCAGCUCGUGUCGUGAGAUGUUGGGUUAAGUCCCGCAACGAGCGCAACCCCCGCCCUGUGUUGCCAGCGGUUCGGCCGGGCACUCACAGGGGACUGCCGGUGACAAACCGGAGGAAGGUGGGGAUGGCGUCAAAUCAUCAUGGCCCUUAUGCCCAGGGCUACACACGUGCUACAAUGGCCGGUACAACGGGUUGCGAACCCGCGAGGGGGAGCCAAUCCCUAAAAGCCGGUCCCAGUUCGGAUCGCAGGCUGCAACUCGCCUGCGUGAAGCCGGAAUCGCUAGUAAUCGCGGAUCAGAAUGCCGCGGUGAAUACGUUCCCGGGCCUUGUACACACCGCCCGU
rnacentral:rRNA from 1 species